AAGCAAUCACCAAAAACAUCGCAAAGGAGUUAGUACUACUUUUCAGCAGAGUGGGCAUGCUGUUCAUGUCUCAGCUAAUGGUUGAUGUAUGCCAGCCAGUACAGAUUAAUAGGCAGCGCAUCUCUGUCCAUUCACUAACGAACGGGCUAGUAAAAAAGGUUUAAGGUUUAUCCAGGAGAGUUGUGGAUAUAACUGGACGAAACUGGGACCAGCUUAUCCCCUACGCUCUGUUCACAGUGCGAGAAACCCUACAAGUCCCCACGGGAUUCACGCCGUUCGAGCUACUAUUCAGGAGACAGCUCCACAGGCUAUUAGUUGUCGUGAAGGAGACAUGGGAGGAACAACCAUCUCCAUUCCGAUUGCUCGUAGAGUAUGUGAAGGAUUUACAGGAUAAGAUUGCAAGUGUGCUCCCCAUAUGCCCCCAUUUUGCCCCAGGGAUCAAGUGCUCCUCCUCCAGUGCGCUGGCAAGGACCGUACAAGUUAUCGAACAAGUGAGACAGGUGAACUACCGUCUGAAGCAGCCCGGUCGCGAACAGGUGCAACACAGAGAGCAUCUGAUGGCAGAUCAGUACCAGGAACUGAAGGAGCUAGUUGACUAGUUCCAGGACGUGUUGUCCACCGACCUGGGGCUCACUUACUUGGUCCGGCAUGAUAUCAAACACGUCGCCUGGAAUGAUCGCCCGACAGAGACCAUAUCGGGCCCCGAAAUAUUUUCUAGGACUAAAUGGACACUGGAUCAGCCGCGGUCUCUUAAAGCUGCAGCACCCAUCUCGAACCUCCUAAAAAAAGGACAGCCAGAGAAACUGUUAUGUACAGUAAGCAGAGGAGGCAGAAAAUGCAUUCAAACAACUGAAAGCCCAUCUCACCAAAUACACAAGACUCCCAUGCAUUGAUCGCUUUGCGUCCGCAACUCAUAUAUUAGACCCAACCGAGCCGUCGAAUCCCAACAGCACGUACAAACACGGAAACAUUCCUCACUAAUUAACUGUUUGUUUUGCCAUCCUGCACCUAUAUUAUAAUAAAUAUACUGCACUAUUUGCACCGCAGGAGCUGCCUCUUUGUGUCCGUGAUUUUCUCACUUUCUACACGCUUUACAUAAUAUAAGAUUCAAUUCAUUAUUAAUACAUCAUGCAGUAAACUAAUACAAAUGUAGUAAAUUAGGUUGCUUAAAUAACCACAAGUUAUAGGAUUACAUUGUAAAAAAAUACAUAAAUUUUAUCAUGCAGGUAUUUAUUUGAGUAAGGCCGAUACAGAGAGACUCAUUCUUUCCCUUGUUAAAAUGAUGUUAAAGUUUCCUAUCAAUAUUUUUAUUGAGUGUCUCAGAGGAAAACAUUAACAAACCCCCAGGGACACCCUGUAAUUUGUAAACCAUUGUCUUUUCAUUUCCUUUUUCCCUCUAAAAAUGUAUUUAUUCACUUUAUGUAAUCUUACAAUGUUUACUCAGCCAUUCA